GGGCAGUUAGCUCAGUUGGAUAGAGCGUUGGCCUCCGGAGCCAAAGGCCACAGGUUCGAAUCCUGUACUGCCCA
rnacentral:tRNA from 1 species